UUUGUAGAGGGCCCUUUUGAAAAGUACUUGGAGCGUUUAAGAGAUCCAAAGGAAAGUGCUGGCCAGUUGGAAAUGCGUGCCCUUUCACAGCUCUACAAAAGAGACUUCAUUGUAUAUAGAUAUGCUGGGAAACCCCCUAUUCGUGUCACAGAUAACUGCU